rnacentral:sRNA from 1 species
GACUUCUUCUUCUACUCUUCU